UUACAGGUCAUCAAUUCAAUUUCAAGGAAAAGCAUCAUAAGGUUAGAAUUGCAACCUCCAGCUUCACUUGUUUCUCUGCAAAGCUUGCCCAGGAGGAUGUAAAAACCGGAGUCUGUAGUAGUGAAAGAGAAAAGCGUGUCAGUGAUUCUUUUGGCUAGAGGAAAGGGUAAAAGGAUGGGUGUAAGUCCUCUUCGACAUUUUCAUUAAGCGUAUAUAAAUCCAUUUGAGGAUGUUACCGGUGUUCAGGUGUUAUCAGAUAGAUUGGUACAUGACCUUAUUUACCACGUUGAGUUGGCAAAAGGUUGUUAUAAGGACAAUGCAGCAGCUCUCGCAAGAAACUGCAUUCUUUGAGAAAGCUAGGUCUUGAACCAAACCUUAUUCAAUUGAAUAUAAAAGAUUGCCUACUUAUCUCUUCCCCGAGGGCACUGCUUCUGUGAUUGGCCUAACAGCAAUGAUGUGUGACUAUUACUCUAUGCUGAUGAGUAUGGAUUUCAUCUUUGCUUUUCUGGUUGGCUAGUUGUGUGGAAGUAAGCUGAUGAGGAUGAGAUUAAGAUUCACAAUAUCAUUAGAGGUGACAAUGUGCUCCCCAUUCAUCUCUGCGAUUGGGCUGAUGUAAUUGUGAUUGCUCCUUUGUCAGCACACACACUAUCAAGGAUUACGCUCACGCUGCAAGGGCUGUUGUUGUUCAUCAAUUUUGUCACGUUGGUUCUUUCGCUUUCAUUGGCGGUGGCUCUGUGAUUGCACAGGAUGUUCCAAAGUACAUAAUGGUUGCAGGAAAAGAGCUCAGCUCCGUGUUUUAAAUCUGGAGAGUCUACGACGUCAUGGAUUCACAGUGGUAGAGGAAGCUGUCAAGGGACAAUUAUGGCGCCUACGUGAUCCCCAAGGGAAGCCACCAGGUGUAAUGGGAUGGUGGCCUUCAAGAGCUGUGAUCAACAUUUUUAAAAUGGUAGACUUAGCAGGAAAAGAUGGCAUUCCAAGGUUGGGGGCCAGGGUGUAUACAUGCAAUAAAGCAAGGCUUUGUUCCAAUGAGGCCAUGAGAGCGGUAGAGCUUGCAAAGCUAGACUCGCUAAAUAAAUUUCUGGUUGUAUAUUGCUAGGAGAGUACCAUUAGAUCUACUCCUUUUGUAGAUAAAAGAUUACCUUUGCACAAUCUAUUUUGGUGCGUGAUGUGGAUUAUAACAAUUUCUUCUAUAUAUUACUGUUAAUUUAGUAUUUUUGAUUCCA